GCCAGCAUGGUGUAAUGGUUUUUUGAGUGUUGGACUAUGAUUCUGGAGACCAGGGUUCAAAUCCUGGUUCUGCCA